rnacentral:SRP_RNA from 1 species
GCUGGGCGCGGUGGCUCACGCCUGUAGUCCCAGCACUUUGGGAGGCCGAGGCGGGUGGAUCACCUGAGGUCAGGAGUUCGAGACCAGCCUGGCCAACAUGGUGAAACCCCGUCUCUA